CCUACGGGUGGCAGCAGUGGGGAAUAUUGGGCAAUGGGCGCAAGCCUGACCCAGCAACGCCGCGUGAAGGAAGAAGGCUUUCGGGUUGUAAACUUCUUUUCUCAGGGACGAAGCAAGUGACGGUACCUGAGGAAUAAGCCACGGCUAACUACGUGCCAGCAGCCGCGGUAAUACGUAGGUGGCAAGCGUUAUCCGGAUUUACUGGGUGUAAAGGGCGUGUAGGCGGGACUGCAAGUCAGAUGUGAAAACCAUGGGCUCAACCCAUGGCCUGCAUUUGAAACUGUACUUCUUGAGUGCUGGAGAGGCAAACGGAAUUCCUGGUGUAGCGGUGAAAUGCGUAGAUAUUAGGAGGAACACCAGUGGCGAAGGCGGACUGCUGGACAGUAACUGACGCUGAGGCGCGAAAGCGUGGGGAGCAAACAGGAUUAGAUACCCGUGUAGUC
rnacentral:rRNA from 1 species